rnacentral:rRNA from 1 species
AUUGAACGCUGGCGGAAUGCUUUACACAUGCAAGUCGAACGGCAGCACGGACUUCGGUCUGGUGGCGAGUGGCGAACGGGUGAGUAAUGUAUCGGAACGUGCCCAGUCGUGGGGGAUAACGUAGUGAAAAUUACGCUAAUACCGCAUACGAUCUAUGGAUGAAAGCGGGGGAUCGCAAGACCUCGCGCGAUUGGAGCGGCCGAUAUCAGAUUAGGUAGUUGGUGGGGUAAAGGCCCACCAAGCCAACGAUCUGUAGCUGGUCUGAGAGGACGACCAGCCAAACUGGAACUGAGGCACGGUCCAGACUCCUACGGGAGGCAGCAGUGGGGAAUUUGGGACAAUGGGCGAAAGCCUGAUCCAGCCAUUCCGCGUGCAGGAUGAAGGCCCUCGGGUUGUAAACUGCUUUUGUACAGAACGAAAAGGUUUCUACUAAUACUAGGAGCUCAUGACGGUACUGUAAGAAUAAGCACCGGCUAACUACGUGCCAGCAGCCGCAGUAA